rnacentral:rRNA from 1 species
AGACUGCAGGCUGCAACUCGCCUGCACGAAGUCGGAAUUGCUAGUAAUCGUAGGUCAGCAUACUACGGUGAAUACGUUCCCGGGCCUUGUACACACCGCCCGUCAAACCAUGAGAGUUGGCAACACCCGAAGUCGGUAGUCUAACCGCAAGGAGGACGCCGCCGAAGGUGGGGUCGAUGAUUAGGGUUAAGUCGUAACAAGGUACC